AGAUAUCAAGUUAAGGAACUUAGUGUUCUAGGUAUGGGGAAAUGCCAGCCUUUGGACUCACUGAAUCCAUUCCUUUCAUUGCACUUCAGCUGUCUGGGGCCAAAUUCUGUUUCCUUGUUCGCCUUAAGGAGUGGCAGCUGUGGCAGAUGGCUGAUUCGUGCAUUCCCCAGUUUCUCAGCAGUCACUGUGAGGUGUGGAGGCACCUGCUGGAUCCCACUUUGAUUAAAAAGAAAACAAACUACCAGCAACUCUAGUUCUGUUUUUCCCUGUGAGAACACUGUCAGCCCACUGUGGAACUGAAUUCCAUAGGAUAAAGAAAUUUAAGUUGAUUUUAUGUGCCAUAAAGUUUAUGGAAAGAUUCUUCACAGGCUCUAUAGCUGUCGACGGAAAAGUGUCACCGGCUAGAACAGUGAACAAUGGAUGUUACAGCCAUCAAGCCACUGCAGACACUCCAGCGGGGCACCCUGAGGGGACUCAGGAGGAGAAAGCACCAGACACCUGCCCCAGAUGGCUGAGGGGCACAUCAAAGGAAUGACUUCUGCGAGCCCAGACUCUUGCAUCUUCCUGUACACAGCAAAGUGCAAAAUUCCUUAUCUUGGGAUGUCCAGUUUUCUUUACUUAACAGUAAUCCCUUGAAGUUCUAACUACCUGAAAUUUGUUGCAAAAACUCCUAUGUGUCCUCCUACCUCUUUGGGGCUGUUCCUUAGGGUAGUUGUCCUCAGCCUUUUGGGUCCCAGCGACUGGUUGUGUGGAAGACAAUUCUUCCAUUGCCUGGGGACUGGGGGGAGUGGUUUCAGGAUGAUUCAAGUGCAUUAUAUUUGUUAU